GAUGAACGCUGGCGGCGUGCCUAAUACAUGCAAGUCGAGCGAACAGACGAGGAGCUUGCUCCUCUAACGUUAGCGGCGGACGGGUGAGUAACACGUGGAUAACCUACCUAUAAGACUGGGAUAACUUCGGGAAACCGGAGCUAAUACCGGAUAAUAUAUUGAACCGCAUGGUUCAAUAGUGAAAGACGGUUUUGCUGUCACUUAUAGAUGGAUCCGCGCCGCAUUAGCUAGUUGGUAAGGUAACGGCUUACCAAGGCAACGAUGCGUAGCCGACCUGAGAGGGUGAUCGGCCACACUGGAGCUGAGACACGGUCCAGACUCCUACGGGAGGCAGCAGUAGGGAAUCUUCCGCAAUGGGCGAAAGCCUGACGGAGCAACGCCGCGUGAGUGAUGAAGGUCUUCGGAUCGUAAAACUCUGUUAUUAGGGAAGAACAAAUGUGUAAGUAACUAUGCACGUCUUGACGGUACCUAAUCAGAAAGCCACGGCUAACUACGUG
rnacentral:rRNA from 1 species